AUGUUAGUCGAGAAGAUGUUCGCCGUCCCGAUGGCCGCCGGCUACGAGGGUUUCCCCUUCAUCGCGACACAGGCGGAGAAGGAGAUGGCGGAGGCGUUCGCCGGCAAGGCCAGGGCGGAGCGGCAGCCGUACGCCCUCAAGGCCAAGGCGGAGGGGGCGAGGUUCGUUGUCAAGGCGGGGUGUGGCUCUAAGAGGAAGGCGGAGGAGGACCGUGAGGAGGACGCGGCGUUCACCUUCAAGGCCAAGUCGGAGGAGGAGGCGGCGUUCACCUUCAAGGCCAAGUCGGAGGAGGAGGCGGCGUUCACCUUGAAGGCUAAGUCGGAGGAGGAGGCGGUGUUCACCGUGAAGGCCAAGGCGGAGGAGGAGGAGGAGGAGGAGGAUGAUGACUGCGACUCGGACGAAGAGGAGGAGUUCAUGGUCAGGCUCAUCGCAGACUACAACGCCCAUGCCGACAAGCUCAGGGCUGACCAUCCAGGGAUGAAGUACAAGGACUACAGCACUGAGGAAUACGCCUACAUGCGCCUCCAGCCGGAGGAGGUGGAGGACGAUGACUGCAACAAGAUCGAGAAGCUCAGGGCUGAAUAUGCCUACUUGUUCUGCAAGCUGGAGGAAGAGGGUUCCCAUGGUGUUGAUGGGCUUGUUCGGGCGUGA
rnacentral:rRNA from 1 species